UAAUAAGUGUUUUAUGGCACUUUUUUAAAUCCAUAUCCACCUUGUGUGCAAUGUCAGUCGAUCUUCUUCAUGGAGAUCGACCAAACAUCAACCUUUAUUUUUUAACUCUUUGUCUGAAAAAUAUUAUGAAUAAACAAUUCAAAAUA
rnacentral:misc_RNA from 1 species